UGUAAGAGAAAGUGCUUCCAAUGGAGCGAUAUUGUUGUGAAGUUCUGAGCUCGGAAAGACAUUCUGGAAAUGGUUGCCUUAAAACAUUUGUGGAACAACAGAUUUUGAAGCCAUACGUGGUAUUUGACUGUGGGAGGCAUUCUACUUCGCUAAUCUCAGGUACACAAACCAGCAGCAUGUACAAAUGAAAUUGCAUGCAUGUCUGAAUAGCCUUAGAAGUAAAACUGCACACCUCAAUUCAAUAGAAAACCGCAGAAACUGAAAUAAGUACACAAUAAGUCCCUUACACGGAUUCAUGCAGCAAUAAAUGCUAACGUGUCUCACCAUGGGAUUUCUCUGGUUCAAAGAUUUAACAACAGAGCCCCUUCAUAUUGCACAGUUUGACAGAUGCCAACACGUAGGUAAAUCUGCAAAUUACAUGAGAAAUAUUCCCGUACAUAAUUCUACUCAAACAUUGCAUGGGAAUACGAGCUGUGUGCCUGUGUUGAUCAGGCAGAAUGCGAGCCGUCCAGACGUCCCUUCAGAACGUGCUACCUCACGGAGACAGCGGCGCUGCGGAGGAAUGAGAAGCCCAGCGUUUAAUCCGCUUCAUUAAGGGGAGACGCGCCGCUGUUUGCUUUCCGGUCGACGUCCUCACAUUCGGGAAACGGUUCUUCCGGGAGACAGUGAUUCAAAUGGAAGUCUGCAGCCUAUUUCACAGAAGCAUCAAGACAAGGUUCUCAACAGCUGACAGAGCAAUCGCUUUCCACCUCAUGAAAGCAGAGGAAAAGGCAGCCACAGAAGCAAAAUAAAGCAUUCACACUUACAACCCUGUUCAUGAAUAUCAAUAAACUGCACGAGGCUGCACGAAAGAACUUCAGGAAUCUGGAUUUUUUCAAGCUCCAGUAAAUCCAGCUCUCUGCUGAAGAGGUCCUUCUGCUGCACAGCAGGUUAUAUCCACCUGCUGGAGAUUGGCUAGAAAACAGGGACAAUUACCCAUGCCUGACACAUGCAGGUAGAGUACGACCUAUUAAUGACAUGAUAACAUACAGAAGCAGCCACCCUGCAUAGGAUUACCUCACAAUACCAGGCUAACGUGGGCUUUCAGAUAAGAAAUGAGAAUCUCCUGGCCAGUGGUGAGAACACUUGCUCUUCACCCCAAGGCUCCAUACUUUCACUGAUCCUGACCUCUGUCCCUUCAUCUCUACUGCGGAUCAGGAGCAUUAGUCUAGACUCCAGAAACAACACCUGCUAGUGACAAGCACUGUGCCCUACACUACAGGUUAAGUUGAGCUCUUAACAUCUGGCACACUGUGGUCUUUGCCUUCUGCCUGGAAUUAGUCGAUCCAAAAUCUAGGCCUACUGUAUAUGCAUUAGCUGCAUUACCAGUCUCCUGACUUGGAAUCAAAUGACUUGGCGUUCAUUUUAACAAGAUUUCUAAGCCACACUAAAGUGGAUAAUGUUUAAUUCAAGUCAUAUAAUUAAAGCUUUAUCCCAUGCGCAUACUAAAGACUGGAAACUAAGCAAAAAUAAGGAUUACGAGCCACCAUCUAAACAUAAAGUUAAGUGCUCCAGUGUGAGGGCUAAAAAGAAAAAGUAAGAAUCGCUUAUGAAAUAUGAAGUGACAGCACACCAGUAUGUAAGCCCUGGGGCUGCAGCGGAACGACAUUAAACAGCUACAUUUCAGAGGGCUGGUAAUGACAGGCAAGUUCUAUAACAUAACUCAACUCGCGUGAACUACUGGCGGGUGGAGCGGUGGACAGUGGAGAUAUCAAUCCAGCGCAUCAACCCAAGCGUGUCACAGGCCUCCUGGGGAACGGACGCUGGAGCCGACCCUGCAUUAAGGGCUCUUCCAGCGCCCCGCCCCCUCCCCUCCUCUCCUCUCCUCUCGUCUCCUCUCCGCGCGGGGAGACGGAUUUGCAUUUGGCCUUUUUUUUUUGCGCCAAUCGUGAUAAACGGGCCGACGGCGGGCCCCGUCGACGUGCGAGCGGGCUGCGAACCCGCACCUGCAGACCGGGCCCGUCCUGGGCAGGUGGCAGACGACAACCGCGGCCUCCGUUAAUUAAUGUGGGGAGAGCGGCCAUCUGCUGCCAGGGAGGACGAGCGUCAGCGCGUGCGACUGUCGGGGGAAGACGUGCUCUCAGGCACGCGCCAGCGAUACAGUAGGCGCUCUUAAAGACGCCCACUCAACAUUUAGCCCGCUGUGACAGGGUGGCUUUCAUUACCCAGAGAGGCUGCUGGACUAACCCCAGCUGCGGGCCAAUUAAUUCCUUUUACCACUUAACCCUUUAUGGCCCACUCGCUCCUUCUUUUGGGAUGCCCUCCUAGGCUCACGCCACACGUCAGCCUAGAUCUGACAGUCCUCAGUAUCUUGGCAAUAAAUAUCAAUUGACACAACAAAAGUAGGCAAAAUAUGUUUUUAACUACAGAUAACUGAAGAGGAUCACAGAGCUAUGUUCAACAAAUAUCACUUUUCAUGGGAAAAUAAAGCUGCCGAUUCAAUAUAGUAAUAUCUUCUGCCGCAGCGGUUUUAUUUACACCAGGAUAAGUCUGUGCACUGCCUUCAUAACCCUUGGUCCAACAGCCCCGAGUGCUUUAACUGCGCUGCAUCCUGUCAUCCUCAUUGGUUUGCUGGAGCAGAGAGUGCGGUACUUCUGCCUCAGGCACAGUUAAAUCUUCAAAUGAACAUCUUGGGUCACCCUGAACUUAUUUAGGUGGCGCACUUUAAAUGGCUUCCAGCGCGCAGUAAAUUAAUUACCUACGAAACCGCCGUCUGAUGCUAAUGUUCUAACUGCAUUAUCUGUGCGAGAGUCGGCCCCGCUCCUCAGUCGCCACAAUAUGUCAUUUUAAACGACUGAAUAUUCUCACCCCUGCGGCUGCUGUUCUGACAUUUCCCAGCGACGGGGACGGGCCAAAGGAUGAAGCUGAACUGCAGGUUGAGAAACUCCAGCAAGCCGUUAUGUACUGAGUGGAGGUCUCGUGGACGUUUGUUACGAAACAUUGCCCACCGUAAGCUGACAUACCUACCGUUAUGCUAAAAGCAUCGACUGAUUACUAAAUAACCUGUUUUCUUCUUUUAAUGACUGUAAUUAAACUUGUCUGAAGAUCAGGAUCAAUCAACAGCUAAAACAGAGACUUGGUUUUACCCCCCAAUUGCAUUGCAAAAGGAUCCCCCCCCCAUCAGCUUAAUUUAUUCACGUUCCAAGUGGCAUUCAUUCAAGUCAAAGGCUGAUUAUUUUGACACCCCCCGCUAGCCGUGAUGAACCCUGCUUUUAUGAGCCAGAACGGAUGAACCGUGUUCCACAAACUCGCGUUAUGAAAACUGAGUAAAUAAUGUUUCGCCAUGGUUUACCAGUCAUGGUUAGGCGAAAAAUGAAAACUAAAUGUGUUUUUCUGACUCACUGCGUUCCUUUUUAAGCACUUAACCUCUGAAACAAAUAAAGCUUGUUAUCGAGCCAUCUUUAUCAAGUAAACAGAACAGUACAGUUCUGUUUUAGCAGGGCACUGAAGUGAGGGAAGAGAAGAGUGGACUAAUAUGCUAAAAUGCAAGCAAAGUUAACAUCAAAAGCAAGUUUUUAAAGAGACAUUUCCAGUCCUCUUGGCGGGAAAUCAAACCAAAGGAUCCUUUGUAAAUUCUACAAGCAGCCCACUGUGUUUGUUUAAUAAUAAUAAUACAUUCGUAUAUAUUGUGAAGGCUACAUUCAUUUUUGAAUUCAUGUUUUAAGCAAAAUCUCUUGUUCCUAACAGGAUAAAAUAUGCUAUAAGCACAGAAACUUGCUUAUUAAAAAGCUCCUCUAGGCCAAAACCAAAAGCAGCUUCCAGCAAAUUCAUUAUGCAGCAUAGAUGUUCUGAGAUGGGAAAAUCAGGUGAUAUCAGAUGGCAUACAUUUCAAACUCCAUUAAGAGACAAAAGGCACAGUCCUUUCCCCCGGACCGGUCCCUUUCAAACUACCAUACUUUACUUUCAUCCUUGACUUACAAGCCCAUUUCCCUCACAACAUUCAAAGAAACUGAAGAGAACAGGAUCAAAACUACGCUGAAUAAAAGCACUGUCUGACCAGUGACUGAGGCCUGACGGUGAUCUAACACAUGCACCUCACUCUUGCAUCUCCAGUGGCUGACAGCGAAGUAAGACCCACCCCUCAUCAUGCAACAAGGCAACAUGGAGAGUGCUGUUGCACAGACAGGCCCACUUGACUCCCUCCAUUUUAAUUUGUAUUUGAAAGGUGCUUUUUUUUUUUUUAAUGAUCACAAAAUGGCUUUUUCUCCGCAGAAGACACAAAGGCGCGGCGAUCCCCCCCGCGGUGUUCUUCCCACGCGAAUGGAGCGGCACGCCGGUUGCCGCUGCCCGUGCCGAGCGGAUCGGCACGCCGUGCCGGGGACCAUAAUCGUUAAAGUGGAUCUGUCUCCGGUUUUCCGAGGUCUUCUCUCUUGAUAGUCCUAAUCCCAUAAUCGGGUUCAUCAUCCUUUUCAGCGGCGUCACUGCAAACUGUGAGAUUAUUUGCAUCUGCUCGCUGCAGAUUCCGCCGUUCCCACGGCGCCCAAUGUUACCAUGGGGGCCAUCUGUUUCGGGGCUCAAGCUAUGAGCGCUUCAGCAAAGCUCUGCCAAUUACCACCCCAGCAGCUGAUCAACACACUAACCAGCACCUUACAGGAACACCCUAAACUUCCCUGCCAAGGUGGACAUUUUCAAUCUCUUUUUCAGGCAGAUCUGAAGUCGGCCUGCAUUCACCAAGGUACAAAUCAAUCUCACCUCACUUCCCCUUACAUAUGAAACGAACACUUACAUUCCAAACUGAAAACAAAAUAAUCCACUGCAAUAAAAAAGUCUAAAACUGAUUAGAAUACAGCAUACUGACAUGGAUUUCCUAAUAAGUACAUUCGUUAUGGCUUGUAAUGCAUCAUUAUGCAUUACUAUUAUAUCUCAAGCUGAAUGUAAUGGCAGAAGUAAAAGAAACAGUCCUGGUAACCCUAAAGAGGACUGAGCACAAAGCAACCAUGCAUGGAAAAUCAGAGUGAGCAUGCCCAAAAACAAAGUCUGACAGCCAACUGUGUUGGCUAUUUUUGGUCCAGGAAAAUUUUUAACCAUGUCAAAAUCCUCCAUUUUGUAGGCCACAGACGUGCAUGCCCUCACGCUCUCUCUUUGUGUGUCUCUCUCUCUCACACAUACACAAAAACACAAACACCUACGUACACAAUCACUUGCAGGCACACACACACACACACACACACACGCAUAUAUAAAAAGGGAACUUGGCAUAUAAAAUGGUGGACUGCAGAGGCGAUAGUGUUAGAAUGCUACCAUCAGUCAUCAGGCUGACCUGCGCUACGUUUGCUGGGCUGAUCGCAGACCUGCGGCAACGCUGUUAAUACAUGUACUGAGCUGCAGGAAUAGCCUACAGAAGAGCCAUAGAGCUUUCUUUGCUUCUUUGUGUGUUUGUGUGUGUGUGUGCGUGUGUAUAUGCGUGCGUGUGCGAUUCAAUGCUGGUUUUCACACACACUCCGAGGUUGUCCCAUUUCAAAGUAGAUCACAGCUUGUUUGCCUUCUAUUGGAGAUGAGAGGAGGCCGAAAGCCAAUCGGCCCGGCUGCCUGUUACUUCUCGCCGCUCGCUUCAGUUAGCAGGGCGUCCCUGGGCACUGCAGGACACAGGGAGGCAUCAGCAAUAUGAGUUGCGUGCCUCUCUUUCGUUCCCGCUCCCGCUUUCCCUCUCUGCCGAUAUGCCUUAGGGAUUCUCCGUACCUCUCAACCUUUAGAAUUAUGUCCUUACAGCAGCUGGUCAGAGCCUAACACAGAUAUUAAGCGAUCACCUUCACACAACCACUGUUUUAUCACAUUCUCGUCAAAACAACCACAGCCGGGCUAGCAGGCUAACCCCAGGGACUCUGAGGGAAACAGCACAGUCUCCGAAGCGCUCCCUUUAUUUCUCUCAUAGAUAAGACUCCUCUCUGCUGGCUUUGUCAGCAUACUUUCCUGGAGUUAAACCAAAACAACUAUUAAAAUAUUUAUAAUUACUUAAUAAACGCAUCCAUCUCAUUGGACAAAGCAUUUUACUGCACCAGUGAUUUAACGUUUUUUAUAUAGCUGCACUACAAGGUCAUAAAAAUAAAUGGCACGUAUAUAUGAAGCUAGUGUUAAAAACUAGUUAAUGAAUGAUAAGAAAUUGAGUCCUAAAUAAUAAAUAGAAAGCAAUGGCAAUUUCUCCUGAAAAGGAUUUAAUAUUAAUUUUUUAAUCGCAGGCAGAGACCAUUUAAGCAUUCCUUAAAAAAAAUAAAAUCAAUGCUAUUUAUCUAUAAAAUAAAUAGAUUUUCAGUGUGUUCUGUCUUAUAUAGCUCUGGGGAGGACUGUGAUUGCUGCUAAUUUAUGCCUGCAGACCUUUUAAAAACGUAAACGGGCAGCUCAGUUUAAAGAGCAGAAGGAAAACAAUCCCACAACAGCAGUGAAGACAUUACAGGCACUAAAGGGCUCCUGAAAUUGGUGACAGGCGGCAAAAUUUUGUUGCCUGUGAAGUUUUUACAGCCGGCCUGAGCGUAGCACUUUAAUGGCUCAGAGCAGGAGCCGACGCGCGGACCAAAGAAAGCAUGUGGCGUGCGCUGUCAAAUUGUGAGUGACAGAUGGUGUCACUUCCCUUUCAACCGAACCGUCUCGGCUACGAUACUAAUCGGCACUUCCAGCGACUUCCCGUAUAGCUCUGCGCUUCCAGAAGUGGAGACAGAACAGAAGGUUCAUUUACCCAUCCAGUCUCUAUGAUGCAAUGGCAGACUGUUGUGACAUCUUUCCAAACAGGGCUUUUAGAACAACACUUCAGUAAGGAAAGUCUAAGACAAAUUUAUAGAGUCAUUCUGCACUUUAUGUGAGAGCUGACGCAGGGAGACAUUCCAGAGAUGGGGAGAAAGGAACGCUGAGGCGAUGGGUGCUACUUCGCAUCAUGGAGCUCGCAUGAAUAGUCUGUCAGUACUCCAGACGUGGAAGUGGAACUUCAGUGUGAGGACCUCCAGCAGAACACCAGGAGUGGCACAGGGCAGCCAAACGAUCACAGGUGGCAGACACGCAAGGUGAAAGUAAACGAGCGAAACCAAGCAUUCAAGCUUAGGCGCUUCAAAUAUUGACCCCUUCAAUCAAAUUUGAAAAUGUAUUCCAACUUCACUAAAAAAUGAACAAUUACCCAUGGUAUGGCAGCUUUUUAAAAAAAAAAAAUCUCCCUUAGAUGAAAAGACAAAAUUGAGGCAUUACAUUUUUAAGUUUAAGUCAACCCAACUAUAAACUGCAGUUUGCUUAUCCAAUUAGAUUCCAAGGAUCCUGGGACAUUAUUGAUGGACUUGGCUUUUCUGCAGGUGCCAGCGACCCAUUUGUGUGAUGAUUCAGCUAAAUCCAUUACCCAGAAUUCUCUGCACGGCCGAACAUCUCAUUCUGUGCAAAUGGUCUGAUAUGAGCCCGGCAGGCAGUGCCCCACGCCCCAUUCUGAGCCACUUUCCCGAGAGAGAAGGUGUCUGAUUCAAAGGACAGACAGAGUGGCAGGGCGUGCGUCUGAUGAUGGGUGAUGAGGGUAAUGGAUCAUGGGGUUUAUUUUUCGCCGUGAGUGGGGUUUCUAUUUCACGGGCGACGUGUACAGAGCCGCUGUACACGCUGUGCUAAGGCAGUCCAGACAGAAUAUUCUGUUUCGAUGAUAACGCUCCAGGUAAACAAACGGCUCGGGACCAAGAGAGAGAGAUGCAAAGAGAGAAUGGUGAGGUAUUAAAGGCGUAAGGUACAAUUUUGUUCUAACCACCACGUUGCAUCUGUGCCUCUUCACUUCGACUUUCAUAAUUCCACUGCUGCACACGGGUGGAGCCGUAAAUACCACAGGCUGUAAACUGCUGCUGGAAGGACAAUCAACAUGGCUGCAGUCAUCAGAACACAGGGCAUCAACGCUGAGUAGUGCAUACAGCACCUCUACAUGGGAUCCCUGGGUCAUGGAACCUCAAGACAGGUUCCUGGAAGAGCCAUAGCCAUGGCCCAGGGACAAGAUAAUGGACUUAGACUUAAAAGAAAUACAAUACUUUGGGAUAAUAUAAUGAAUGUAGGAGGAAUUGAGGAAAUGCAAAUGCAUGUGGACUCAAUGAAAUGAGAGCUUCCAGAAUACUUACCCGGUUUAUAAGAAUGCACUAGAGCUGGUGCCAAUGUUCUAAAGUGCAAUGGUGUCUUGGGCAAAUUGGGUCUUGGAUUCAGAGCCCCUACACCUCGCUCGGAGUCCCAAGAUACCUCUGAGUUUUAGCAGCCCAAGCCAUCAGCCCUCUGAGUACCGAAUAAGGUAACAGGUCCCAAGUACGCCGGAUUUCAGGAAUAGAAUUCAAGUCCCAAGACCUCCGAGUACUGAGACAUGUACCAGGUCCCAAGGCCUCUGAGACAAACUCAGAGGGGUGCUGGUGCCAGGCAUGGACUCAAAGAUGUAGUAUACUGUGGACAUGAGUGGCUCAACCCAUUGCCCACGACCAAGGUAGGCCCAUCAUUUCUUAUUUGCUUUUGUUAAGACAGUGAUUCAGCCAGCUGGCCUUUGGGCCUUUGUUACAUUCUUGAGUAAACACAAGUACUUGCUUUCUUAUUGGCCAAGGAUCUUUCCUGCAUAUUAGUGUUGUGAAAUGGCUGUUAUAUACCAAAUUUUUUGUGAAGGUACAAAUUCCAAGUAAAACCAGAAUAAAUGUAAUUGAAUGUCUGGCGCAGUAGUUUAAUAGUUUACUAAAAUAAAAAAUCCACAUCCAUUUUUGUAUAAAGUAAUAAUAAUAAGUAACAAUAAUAAUAUGAAGUUCAUUCACAGGCUAAACAUCUAACUUGAUUAAUUCCUGUACUCUUCUCAUGGCAGCUGAAACAGCUGAAGCUCAGGGGGCAUGGGUUUGGUGAGCAUUUGAAUGGGAGACCUCUGCUUUCCUCCUUCCUGAACCAAGUACAAAUCCAUUGUCCCAGUAGAGUGAUGAGGGCAGUGAGCUGUAGAAGAUGCGGGCCCCUCAGACGAAAUGUUAAAUCGAGGUCCUGACUCAUCUUGGUCAUUAAAGAUUAAAGAGUAAGGGUGUUAACCCCUAUAUCCUGUCCAAACACACACACAAAGUGGCUCUAUAGAUCUAGCCACCUACUCGUCCCUCACAUCUGAUUGGCUCUCCCCUGCUUUCCCUGACCACUUUGAUUCCCAAGUCAUCACUUCAAAAGAAAACUGAGGUCUCAGUUGCCAUUCAAAGGUUUCUUGUUUUAAAAAAAAGUAGAGAUCGCACAUAAGACAGAAGAGAGAGCAACUGUGAUUUCAUUCAAAACACGGGGAGCAACCUGAAUGGUCACGGCUCAAACUUUCAAAAUGGAAAAAAAAUGGCUGCACAUACAGCGGCACACACUUUGCUUUUGGGAAACAGAACUGAGUGUUAGGUACAGAUGUAGCCUGCUGCGUUCUUGUAUAGGGUAAAAAAACAGGCAAAUCCAGGAUUGUUCACAGUGAAAUUCCUGUCCACAUUUACCAAAUGAACACGCCUGAAUCUGGCAUACCUCAAGUGCGACAAAAGCAAAGAUAGCCUGAAUAAUGUUUAUUUGGAGCCUAGAGGUGACACCGCACAAACUGUGAGGACAGUACGCAAAUACUGCAUUUGAACUACCUGUCCAUGCUCUUUACCGCCAUGGGAAAGAUGCUCCUAACUUUCAUUCAGGCACGAGAGGACUGCCCUGGCUAAGUGGGGGAGGCAGUUCCUAUCUGAGCAUCCCCCCCACAGGUGUCCAGGGGGCAAAAAAAGAAAACAAAAAGCAUCAAAACCUAUACACUGCCACGUCAUGCAAUACUAGAGCUAUUUUGUGUGACAAAUGAUAUCCUGGAGCCGCAAACACCAGCCAUUUUUUCUGCAUGGAAGUGUCUCCACUUCUUGCUUCUGGCUUACGGCUCAUUUUAACCGACAAGUCACAGUCAGAAUUCUGUCCACGGCUCUGAACACUACACAUGGAAGUCAAGCUUCUAAUACAGAAGCUACAGCAAAUUACAAUACUUUACUGCUGUGCCCAUUUACAGAACAACUGUCAGUAAAUUCCAUACUAAAUCAACAAGUAGCGGAGGGCAAAUUUUCACAACACUUGUGAUCAAUAGCAGGAGCGAUGAUAAUAAUAAAUAAUUAAAUUAAUUUCAAUAAAAAACAUUAUUCCAUCACAUUAUGAACAUCUUGAACAACAGCUUGAAGCCGGAACUACAAAGAAUAUGUAAAACGUAUUCCAUUUCACAUAUGUAUUUUAAACUGUUCUGGAUGCCUGCCAAUGACAUCACCAACAAACAAAACCUUAGUUACCAGUCUAGAGACGUGAGGGAUAGCACCUCUCUCUGUGCAGAACCGUAACAAAAAACCCCUGUGAGGUGAACUCACUUCACAGCAACUUCCUUUUCAUUCUUCACAGCAUGAGAGCUUUACCAGGAUUUCAAUGGAAAAGUCCCCCCCCCCCUCCCCAGUGAUCUGCUCAGACUGAGUUACUCUGUGCUUUCCAGGGCCUGGAUCUGGCAGACCUGCACUGGCACCACCUGAAGGACCCGGCGCGUCCAUGAUGGGGUCAUUUCAUCACACUUCAUUAUUUAUCUGUCUAACAGAUGCCCUUAUCCGAGGCCACCUACAUCAUUAACAUAUUGCCAAUUCACAAAGAUAUUUAUAGGGAUGUUUACAGAGGAAAUGCAGGGCGGGCGCCCAAGGGCGCGACAGACGCGCGCUAACUGGGGCUGGACAACCUUCGGCAACCUUCAGGUGACAAACGCUGUCCUCUGACUGAUGCGCCACAUCACUGCACACAUGUUCUCCCACUGAAAACGGCCCACAUACCUAUUCUGUCAGCAUAAAACACCGCAGCUGUCCAGGGCCUAAUAACGCAGUUAAACUUGCUUAAUUACAGCGUCUGAUUAAACAGGGACUGCUUAGGUGGAUUAGUACCAUGUGGACACUAGAUUGCUGACAUUCAUCAAUUUUUCCUUACCUGAGUGUGAGGAAAUGAACAAUGGCAACAGCAGCAGCAGCAGCAACAUGGAAAGGAAACAGAGAAAACAAUUGGCUGUGAGCUCCAGUAAACAAGAUACACGUAAACAGAGCACAGAUCACACAUUCCGAGCUUUAUUUGAGCUUUGAUUUCUGUAACUGGGUUAUAUACAUUAUGUAUGCAGUGAAUGCAUACCAUGGUUUGAAUGAUAUACAGCCUAAUGCUGAGUGUUGAAAUUGGUGAAAUAAAAGAGAGCCUGAAAUGUGAAUUUUCCAAAAGACGUAGCACCGUAAGACACAGUCCACACUGCUAUAACCCAUCUGUAGUUGACAAAUGUUAGCAAAUAACAAUGCUACUGUCUUGUGUUUUCAUAAAUGAAAACCUUACACACGCAUAUAUGUGUUGAUUAUAGAGAAACAGAAAACCUGUCACUGAAGGCAGAAUGAUACAUGGCCCAGCCAGAACAAGCGGGGGACGAAUCCACCAGUGUCAUAAAGGGCGUGGCCUCAGUGAGGGAGCAGUGCGAACGGGGUCCGCCAAAGAGCACUUCUGCAAUUCUAUUUGCACACUUCCGAAUGCUCAGCGGAACCUGAACUGCAUGAUCGUUAAUGAAUACUUUGCAUCUGGCACUGUGUGGUGCAACACAAUAAAAGGUGUGUUUUUACACAAGAA